CGCCCGCCCCACCGCCCGCCGCUCGUCAGCACUCUGCAACUGAUCGCAGCGGCCACGGGGAGAGACGCUCCGCGAAGUCCCACCUCCUCAGUGAUGGCCCGGCCUUCCUCCCCGCUCUCCAAUCCCGUCGCGGAGUAGCUCCGCGGCUCGUGCAUUUCGAAUCCAGCUCCCUGCCCUGCCUUCCUGUCGCGCUUUCUGCGAUGCCGAUGGAUACAUGUUCGGGUCAAAAUUCACUUUGCCCGUGGGAAUUGUUCCAAAGUCCAGCAGAGCCAUUUGGGGAGAGGGGCGGCGGGGGACAAAUUGUAAUCGCAGCCAUCAUCUGACCACCCCCCAGGACUUGGCUUUUCAGAUACAGUGAUUUCUUAGCACGUAUGUGUUAAAGGGCUGAAGGAGCGUUAUCCUCAGCAAGCAGCAGAGGCAGUGAUAAGUGAGUGGAGGUAACGGGACAGGUCCUCAACCGUCAGCAGGAUUGUUUUAACAUCUACAGAGAGAUCAAGAAACUCAAAACAGCUCUUCCUGCCAAAACUAUAUGUAAUGUCAGCCUAAGGGCACAGUCAUCUUGACCCUGACUUUUGUUUCCCUGGCUAAUAGAUCUGGUAGGAAUACACACACACGGUUAUUGUGAUAGUACUUCACCUUACACUUACAUCACAUUCCCUGGAGAAGUAUCUGAUGGGGCAGCCUUGCUUAUUAAAUCAUUUCCUAGAGGGGAGAAUUCA